CCCUGCAACCUACUGCAACAACUCACAACUGGCAACCCACUGAAGCUAAGCAGGUGUGAGCCUGGUCAGUACCUGGAUGGGAGACCUCCUGGGAAAAACUAAGGUUGCUGCUGGGA
rnacentral:rRNA from 1 species